ensembl:lncRNA
GGUGGGGGCCCUUGAAGAAGGGUGUGCUGGUUUCCUGUGGCCUCUGUAACCAAUGACCACAAAGCAAGUGCCUUAAAGCAACAGAACCAUAUCUUUCCCAGACCUGGAGGCCAGAAGUCUGACAGGGCUGAGCUCCUUCCGAAGGCUCUAGGGGAAGAUCCUUCCUGCUUCUGGCGGCUCCAAAGGUUCCUGGCUUGUGGCUGCCUCCCUCCAGUCUCUGCCUUCAUCAUCACCCGGCCUUCUUCCCCGUGUCUCAAAUCUCCCUCUGCCUUUCUCUUGUAAAGACAUGUGACAUUGGAUUUUGAGCCGACGUGAAUUAUCCAGAAUCAUCUCACCUUGAGAUUCUGAACCAGGUCUGCAAAGACCCUUUUUCCAAGCACAGGUGUGCGUGCUUUAUAUGAGCUGCAUCACAUAAUCCUCAUAAAACCUCUGAAAGAAGUUGUUGAAAAGCCAGCCAGUACGUCCAGCCGAGACACUCCGCCAGACCUGAGCCCCCGCCGCGGGCAGCUCCAUCCAGUCAGUCAUCCUGCCCUCCUCCAGGACCUGAAGUUCUAGAAGACUGCACAGAGCGAGGACUUUCAAAUUCAGGACCCAAACAGCCAUUUCUGCUGAUGUAGUUAUUUCUGGCCCCAGAAGCAAAGCCAACGAAGAGGCUGGAAUGGCUGUUUAUAUACUUAAGAAAAGAAAAGGAAAAACCCUCCAGAAAAUGAGUUUGACAUGGAUGCAGAGAAACUGGAGUCCUUGUGUGUGACUGGUGGGAAUGUGAAAUGGUGCAGUUGCUAUGUGCACCAAUAUAUGUUGUUAAACAAUAUGGCGGUCCCCCCAAAAGAUAAAAAUACCAUAUAGUCCAAAAAUUCUACUUCUGGGUGUACAUCCAAAAGGGCUGAAAUGAAGGACUCAAACAGAUAACUGUAUACCAGUGUUCAUAGUGGCAUUAUUCACAACACAAAAGGUAGAAACAGCCCAAAUAUCCAUUGACAGAUAAACAAAAUGUGGUAGGUACACACAAUGGGAUAUUAUUCAUCCUUUAAAAGGAAUGAAAUUCUGACACAUGCUACAACAAGGAUGAACCCUGAAGACAUUAUUUUAAGUAAAAUAAGGUAGUCACAAAAGGACAAAGUUUUUUAAAGUCCUUGAAUUUGUUACAAUAUGGCCUCUGUUUUAUGUUUUGGUGUUUAUUUGGCCGAGAGGCAUGUGGUAUCCUAGCUUUCCCGAGCAGGGAUAGAACCUGCACCCCCUACAUUGGAAGGAAGAAGUCUUAACAACUGGACCACCAGGGAAGACAAAAUGAAAAGUAUUUUAUGAUUCCAUUUAUGUGAGGCCUCUGCUGCUGCUGCUGCUGCUGCUAAGUCGCUUCAGUCGUGUCUGACUCUGUGCGACCCCAUAGACGGCAGCCCACCAGGCUCCCCCAUCCCUGGGAUUCUCCAGGCAAGAACACUGGAGUGGGUUGCCAUUUCCUUCUCCAAUGCAUGAAAGUGAAAAGUGAAAGUGAAAAGUGAAAGUGAAGUUGCUCAGUCGUGUCUGACUCUUAGCGACCUCAUGGACUGCAGCCUACCAGGCUCCUCCGCCCAUGGGAUUUUCCAGGCAAGAGUACUGGAGUGGGGUGCCAUUGCCUUUUUGGUGAGGCCUCUAGUAGAGUCAAAUUCAUAGAGACAGAAAAUAGAAUAAUGGUUUCCAGAGGGUGAAGGGGGAAAUAGGAAUUACUGCUUCAUGGAUACAGAGUUUCACUUAUGGAGACGGAUGGUGGCGAUGGUCCCACAACAAUGUGAAUGUACUUGAUGCCACUGAACUGGGCACUUAAAAUAUUCAAAAUGGUAAAUUUUACAUAUAUUUGAUCACAAUAAAACAAGCACUACUGGUACAAUGAUUUGGAAAGCAAUUUAGCAACAUCCCAU